rnacentral:rRNA from 1 species
GACGAACGCUGGCGGCGUGCUUAACACAUGCAAGUCGAACGGAAAGGCCCUGCUUUUGUGGGGUGCUCGAGUGGCGAACGGGUGAGUAACACGUGAGUAACCUGCCCUUGACUUUGGGAUAACUUCAGGAAACUGGGGCUCAUAUCGGAUAGGAGCUCCUGCUGCAUGGUGGGGGUUGGAAAGUUUCGGCGGUUGGGGAUGGACUCGCGGCUUAUCAGCUUGUUGGUGGGGUAGUGGCUUACCAAGGCUUUGACGGGUAGCCGGCCUGAGAGGGUGACCGGCCACAUUGGGACUGAGGUACGGCCCAGACUCCUACGGGAGGCAGCAGUGGGGAAUAUUGCACAAUGGGCGGAAGCCUGAUGCAGCAACGCCGCGUGCGGGAUGACGGCCUUCGGGUUGUAAACCGCUUUCGCCUGUGACGAAGCGUGAGUGACGGUAAUGGGUAAAGAAGCACCGGCUAACUACGUG